rnacentral:rRNA from 1 species
GAAAGGAUGGCUAAUACCGGAUAUGACCUACGUUUGGGCAUCCAACGGUGGUAGGAAAGGAUUCUGGUCUGGGAUGGGCCCGCGGCCUAUCAGCUAGUUGGUGGGGUAAUGGCCUACCAAGGCGACGACGGGUAGCCGGCCUGAGAGGGCGACCGGCCACACUGGGACUGAGACACGGCCCAGACUCCUACGGGAGGCAGCAGUGGGAAUAUUGCGCAAUGGGCGAAAGCCUGACGCAGCGACGCCGCGUGAGGGACGAAGGUCUUCGGAUUGUAAACCUCUUUCAGCAGGGACGAAGCGAAAGUGACUGUACCUGCAGAAGAAGCACCGGCUAACUACGUG